GACGAACGCUGGCGGCGUGCUUAACACAUGCAAGUCGAACGGAAAGGCCCUGCUUUUGUGGUGUGCUCGAGUGGCGAACGGGUGAGUAACACGUGGGUAACCUGCCCUUGACUUUGGGAUAACUUCAGGAAACUGGGGCUAAUACCGGAUAGGAGCUCCUGCUGCAUGGUGGGGGUUGGAAAGUUUCGGCGGUUGGGGAUGGACUCGCGGCUUAUCAGCUUGUUGGUGGGGUAGUGGCUUACCAAGGCUUUGACGGGUAGCCGGCCUGAGAGGGUGACCGGCCACAUUGGGACUGAGAUACGGCCCAGACUCCUACGGGAGGCAGCAGUGGGGAAUAUUGCACAAUGGGCGGAAGCCUGAUGCAGCAACGCCGCGUGCGGGAUGACGGCCUUCGGGUUGUAAACCGCUUUCGCCUGUGACGAAGCGUGAGUGACGGUAAUGGGUAAAGAAGCACCGGCUAACUACGUG
rnacentral:rRNA from 1 species